GACGAACGCUGGCGGCGUGCCUAAUACAUGCAAGUUGAGCGCUGAAGGUUGGUACUUGUACCAACUGGAUGAGCAGCGAACGGGUGAGUAACGCGUGGGGAAUCUGCCUUUGAGCGGGGGACAACAUUUGGAAACGAAUGCUAAUACCGCAUAAAAACUUUAAACACAAGUUUUAAGUUUGAAAGAUGCAAUUGCAUCACUCAAAGAUGAUCCCGCGUUGUAUUAGCUAGUUGGUGAGGUAAAGGCUCACCAAGGCGAUGAUACAUAGCCGACCUGAGAGGGUGAUCGGCCACAUUGGGACUUAGACACGGCCCAAACUCCUACGGGAGGCAGCAGUAGGGAAUCUUCGGCAAUGGACGAAAGUCUGACCGAGCAACGCCGCGUGAGUGAAGAAGGUUUUCGGAUCGUAAAACUCUGUUGGUAGAGAAGAACGUUGGUGAGAGUGGAAAGCUCAUCGAGUGACGGUAACUACCCAGAAAGGGACGGCUAACUACGUG
rnacentral:rRNA from 1 species